rnacentral:rRNA from 1 species
GAAAGAUUCAUCGGAAGAGGAUGGGCAUGCGGCGCAUUAGCUGGACGGCGGGGUAACGGCCCACCGUGGCGACGAUGCGUAGGGGUUCUGAGAGGAAGGUCCCCCACACUGGUACUGAGACACGGACCAGACUCCUACGGGAGGCAGCAGUGAGGAAUAUUGGUCAAUGGGAGAGAUCCUGAACCAGCCAAGCCGCGUGAGGGAAGACGGCCCUAUGGGUUGUAAACCUCUUUUGUCGGAGAACAAAACCCGGGACGUGUCCCGGACUGCGUGUAUCCGAAGAAAAAGCAUCGGCUAACUCCGUGCCAGCAGCCGCGGUAAUACGGAGGAUGCGAGCGUUAUCCGGAUUUAUUGGGUUUAAAGGGUGCGUAGGCGGUCUGUUAAGUCAGCGGUAAAAUUGCGGGGCUCAACCCCGUCGAGCCGUUGAAACUGGCAGACUUGAGUUGGCGAGAAGUACGCGGAAUGCGCGGUGUAGCGGUGAAAUGCAUAGAUAUCGCGCAGAACUCCGAUUGCGAAGGCAGCGUACCGGCGCCAGACUGACGCUGAGGCACGAAAGCGUGGGGAUCGAACAGGAUUAGAUACCCUGGUAGUCCACGCAGUAAACGAUGAAUGCUGGUUGUCCGGGUCGAAUGAGACCUGG